GGGCUUGUGGUUUAGUGGUAUAAUACUCCCUUAGCAUCUCUGUUACAUACAGAAACUGAUCUGGGAGUGGUCCGGGGUUCGAUUCCCCGCGAGUCCA
rfam:Microdochium bolleyi strain J235TASD1 unplaced genomic scaffold Micbo1qcscaffold_2, whole genome shotgun sequence.